UAAUGGGGGCGCUUUGUGAAAUCAAGGCUGAGAUGAACCCCUUGAACCUGCACCGGAUAAUGCCGGCGAAGGAAAUUACGU
rnacentral:ncRNA from 1 species